rnacentral:lncRNA from 1 species
AAGUGUCAGUCUAUCUCUAUGCUUGGUGUUAUCAUGCUCAACUGGGUUGCGAGCAAUGCUAAUAGCUGAUUUAUUAUCACAAUAGAGUCAUAGGUUUUUCACAUUUCACUUUAAGAUCAUUCAAAAUAAUUUUCAAUCUUUACAACUCACAAACCAUGUGUCAUAACUCAAACCUUGCAACUACUUUUUGUUUUUUUCUCAUUCUCCAAAUCACC